UUCUGUGAAAUUUUGCGUGAUCAUUGGAGGACAACGCUCCUUUUUCAUGGGAUAAUGCCCAUGCGAUGCCUCAAGCUAUUCAGGCAUGCAAAAAGGCAGAUCAACUGCCAAGGAACUGUAACCGUUUCUAAUCUGCAAGGAUGUCUCAUAAGAGCUGAUGUCGUUGAAGACAAUGCAUUUUCGAGAAGUAGACUGGCAGGUGAGGCAUCCUUGACAUCUUGCAUUAUUGCAAUGCAACUUGCUCGCAGUCGAAGACCUUACACCCUUGCUUCAUCAUAAGAUCGGAUAAAUACUGGCUCAAUACAGGCAUUCAUGCAGGCGCUGGGAUUGCUGCUCACCAGCUGCAGGCAGG
rnacentral:lncRNA from 1 species